CUCCUGCAGAUGCUGUGCUCGGCAAACUCCUUCCCCAGCUUGGGGGCCGCGUGCAUGCCUGGCCAGGCCUCCCAUCUUGGCAGUAACCCCACAUCUGUGCUGGACUUCUGAAGGCCACGCUGCUCUGGCUCUCUAAUGACAGGGGUAGGAGACCUGCAUUGCGUCUGCCAGCUCUGAGCCCAGGGGUAGGGGGGCUCCCGAAAGGAUGAGACUGCCAGGUCCCCGGGAGGUGGGAGGGCCCGAGUUGGCUUCCUGGACCCUGUGUCCCACCCAAGUCCAAUCCCCAGAGAGAAGGCCUGAGGAAAACCCCCGUGCCUCAAAGGAUGCAGGCUCUUCAAGGUGUGGCAGGGGAAGGGACAGGAGAGGGCCGUCAACCUGAGCUUAUUUGGUGCCAUGAAACAGUCUUUCAUGUUCAAGCAGCUGGUGGCUCGGGGAAGGCCUGUGGCUUGACUAGACUCAUGCGGGCGGAUGGGUGGACAGGCGGAGCUAGGACCCAAACCGGCGCUUGUUGGACGCCGACAUCUCUGCAGCGGGAGCCCACUUGGAGGCCCAAUGUGACUGUCGGGUGUGAGAGACCUAUUUGAGCAGAGCCAAACUGAAACAGUCACGUUAUUAAGUGGGACUUGGUCUGGCCACUUCCAGAAGGUUCAGGGGAAGGAGCAUCUGUGGAAGUCCCACGUCUCUCCUCAAAGCCCAGACUCCCCCUAGGGAGACAGCAAAGCUCAGUCCCCUGCUCGCCCGGCCUCUGCUGAGAGCCCCAGGCGCCCACAGCCGCGUGCACGAUUCCGGCCCUCUCUGUCCACCGCCUGCUCUCUAGAUCAACUUCAAAUCCACUCGCUUUUUCAUUUGCCCCAGAGAUAAGAUGGUGCUUGGCCUGCAGCAGGUGCUCUGUAAGUCUGUCGAAUGAUUGAAUUCAUGAAUGAAUGACAAGCCUGAAGCCCUGCAAGGACUCACGGAAUGCUUCACAGCUCCUGACUCCACCUGGCUGCUCACAGGUGAGCACAUGAGGACUCAGGAAAGAAAGGAGCCUGUCUGGAUCCCAGAGCUGCCCAUCCACCCGGGGGCUGUCUCGAAGUCCCUCCCGGCCCUGGGGAAGCUGCAGAUCCUCAAGAUUCUACUCUGGAUCAUUUUGAAAGAAGCUUCUGCUCCCUCUGCCCUGGGCCUCCUCGUGCUCAAAGUUUACGCUCUGUGGGGUGAAGGGGUAGCAGUGGGGAAAGAAACUGCACCAACUACACUGCAGGGGCCCUCGGCAAGUGUGCAACCUCUGUGGGUCUCAGUUUACUCAGCUGGAAAAGGGGUGUGGUUCCUUCUCGGGGUAGUUAUGAGGGGCCCUCGACCUUCCAUCCCCACCGGGGCCUGGGGCUGGGCUAAUGCCCAGGGGAGUGAAAGAACUUCCCUCCCAUGGCUGAAGCUGCCCUUGUAGGCAGCUUCGGGGAAACCCCUGAGGUUCUCUGGGCCCCGGUUGGGCCUCUGUGCCAUCCAAGCAGUGAGGAGAGGUUACAGAAAACAGUUGCGAGAAACAUCAAACACACCGAUGAGAGCCCCAGAGACCCUGCCCCAGCCGGCUGCCCUGACCAUCAGCGGCCCCUCACAGGUUUCUCAGGCGGCUGCAAACUUCUCCCUUCCCCAGGCUAUCUGCUUGGU